GCCGUUCGAAUCGGUCCAUAGUUGCGCGUUCCUAGAGUCCACCAUUCGAUCCGAUCCGAUCCAUUCGCCGCCCACUUUGGGGACACUCGAGGAGGACGCGUGUUUUGGCGCGUUUCAAUUUCCCGUGCGAGGUCAAAAUCGUGCUCCGCUGGUGGCUAGACGCGGACGGGACGGGAGUAAACACAUGGCGCUGUGUGGGUAGGUGGGAUAGUGGGGAAAGUGGCGAAGACGCCGAGCAGGCAGUCGGUCGGGCACUCGCGGCCCUGCCAUUGGCGCGGGUGGAAGAAUGCUUUGCAUGUUGUGAUUUACAUUUUUGCAACAUUCGAGUUCCUGCAUCAAGAAGAAGAAGACGAAGAAGAAUAUCAUGUUCAUCGUGCGGCUGGAGUGAUGCUGAUAGCAGCCGUACAGCAUAGUGCAUGGUGUAGAGUGUAAGUGGACCGUUAAAAUCUUCAAUCAUCCGAAAGAGAGGAGGAUCCGCACGAAGCGCGUGAAUAAUGAAACACAGUCAUCAAUUAGUGAAAGUGACAAAUUUCAUAUUUUGUUUAACGUUGGUGUGGCUGCAGGAUGUCCCACUGGUGGGACGAGGAAGCGCGGAAGUGGCGGGAAAAGCGACGACGGGAACAGAGUAUCUGCCAUCGAUUAGUUCAGAGGGAGCGAUCGGAAGCACCGGUGGAAAUUACGCCAUAGCUGAGCCCUAUAAGAGCUCGCCUCCCCACUGCACCAGGGCGGUCUUCAGCUCGGCCCGUAUCCGAAACGGCAGCAUCGCACCGUCCCACUCAAAGCAUUCGGGACUCUUCCCGUCGGCCAUUUGCUACCAGUACGAAUUCAUCGGCGAGGGAGCCGAACGGAUACAGAUCAUAUUCUCCGAGUUUCGGUUGCCCUCCAAGCUGGAACCGAACGAAUGCGGCGAGACAGAUAUCCUGAUGGUGCUUUUUCAACUGGACGGUAGAGAUGAAGUGGUCGAGACACUCUGCGGGGACACGCUACCCAAGCCCAUCCUUUCCAACGGACCCCGGCUUCUGCUGGAGUUCCGUAGCAGCUUCAACAACACCGAGAACAAAGGAUUCACAGCGGAUUUUUUCUUCCUGACAAAUUUUGGCAUCUCUGCCGGACACCAACCGAACCAAUCGGAAUGCACCUUCCACUUCUUCAAGAAUGCCUCCAACCAGGGCUGGAUCCAAUCGCCAAAUUUUCCCGGUGCCUACCCAAGAAAUAUUCGCUGCAACUACUUCUUCUAUGGUGACCCGCUCGAUUAUGUCCUCAUCCGGUUUACCUAUUUCGACAUCGAAGGAAUCGCCCCCUGCGACGAGAACUCCGCCAGCGAUUUCGUGGAGUUUUCUAAUUUUAUCACCCGCGAUCGCAAGUUCGCGCUGUACUGCGGCCUGCGACGGGAUCUGAUCGUGCGCUCCGAUGGCAAGUUUUUCCGCGUCACCAUGGUCUCGAACGAUCGGCUCGACGGGACGGGCUUCCGGGCACUGUACGCGUUCGAGAGCAGCAUCACGGCCGUCAUGAUGGGAUCGGCGGCACCGGGCGGAGACGCUGGCCGGUCGGGAAGAGUCGUCGGACCGGCGGCAGGUGUUCCAUACCCCUCGCAGCAGCACCACCUCCUGACGAAGGCGGCACGGAACGUUGCCACCACGCUGGCGAAGAUCGGCAUCCUAGGGGCAGCCUCACACUCGAGUGGCGUUCUCCUGAUGCUGGCCUCAGUUUUAAUCGCAUCCGUACAGGGAGCAUCACAGCUGGUCACAACCAUUCCCUGUCGCCAUCAUCCGUUCCUCCCGCUGCUGAUACAACUACUGCUUCCGGUGGUUGUUGCGGUGGUGGGAAUAACACCCACGAUUCUAAUAGGCUGACUGUCGCCACAGCACCUGCAACGAUGAUGAAGAUGUCUCGGUUUGCAGCGAUGAACUGUUGGCUGCGAUGCCAAUGGCCUUUUCGCGGAUUCCCGCAACCAAGAAAGUAAACAAACAUCACUCGCUUGGAGGAUUUCAUGUGGGAUUGUGGUGCAAGUGCUGGGAAAAUGUACAUCAUCCCAAGCCCAAAUGUGCGGAUGGUGUGUUCCGAACUGUGAACUGUGUGAGUGACACAUUGAAGCAUGUUUCGCAGGAGAAUAACUAUCAAAACCUCAAUGUUUAAUGUGCAGCACCAUAAAAGCGGAUGCGAAUGUUGCGUCCCCAUUCGUAAGGUAUUAUUUGUUUUACGCACAAAAGAUCACCAUGAUGAGAAAAAUUUGAAUGCAACAAAAAAGCCCAUUUAAUUUAGCAUGUUGCAUCAUGAGAAAGCAUCCCACAGUAUGUGUACAAGAGCUGAAAAAAGACCACUGUAGCGAAAUUAGUUUUUCCCUUUGAUCUGAACCUACCCCAAAUUGUGAUACGAUGGCGACGAUUGAACAGCGAGGGAGGAGCACGAAAGUGCCUCCCUCACAUACCCACAUACACACCCACACACAUCAAUGAGAGCACUGUGUGAUUUAGCGAACCUCGCGCUCGGGAAAAGCGAAACUACACUAACCAAACAAAUAUUAGUUUUUCAUCUCCUCGCAUUCCCUCGCGCACUAGUGAGUAAACCCCCAGCCCCAGCAGAACACGGUGCGUUCCUCGCGCUCUCACGGAAACUUCCUCCCUCAGCCACCUCAAACCCCCCGGGGGAGGCACAGCGCAACCACACGGCACUUUGUAUCCCGUUUUCCUCCAUUCAGUGGAGGAUGGCGAUGUGUGCUUUUUUCGCUCUCCCUUCCAGACGCAGCGGGCCGCCAUACUCCAAGCGAUGGAAAAUUUUCCUCCCAACUCACGUCAUGCAUCGGUGGAAGCGAAAAACCGCUCAUUAAGAUAUAUGAACUCAUUAGAGUCUCCAAAAGGCACGGACGUAAUUGG